GUUGCUGUGGACGGCUAUGGCGUCCAUGUGAUCAUGAGGUUCUCGCAAGGACCUUGCGAUCACGUGGCCCAGGAGGGCCGCAACGGGAACAGGGGGACUCCCUGGAAUGCCAGGUGAGUCCCCCCACCGCGAUCGCUGGCGUGGGAUCGGCGGUGACCGGGUAACUUAAUAGGAUGGCGGGGGCAUGCUAUGCCGACCCCCAGCGUUUAGAGCCGGGUCCUCAAGGACGGCACGCCCACCGUCCUUAAGGGGUUAAAAAACACCUAAUCAAGGCAAAAAAUAAUGGGUGUUUAGUUACAUUAUAUGAUCAUACAUUGCAUAAGCCUGCCACAACAUCACUGUACCCCUUUGGCAGGUCCUACUCUCACAGCCAAAUGUCUGCUAAAUGAGCUACUUACUUGGGGGGGAAAUUCCAUCUCGAGUUCUCUGCAGUACAAGGCUAAAUAUUGCCCUGAGAUGAGGCACCUAUGACAGGGAGGGGUGCAAAACCAAGGAGUUGGCUAGACUCCUAUA